GUGAGGAAUUUUCCGCAAUGGGCGAAAGCCUGACGGAGCAAUGCCGCGUGAAGGAUGAAGGCCUAUGGGUUGUAAACUUCUUUUCUUAGAGAAGAAUAUUGACGGUAUCUGAGGAAUAAGCAUCGGCUAACUCUGUGCCAGCAGCCGCGGUAAUACGAAGGUCCCAAGCGUUGUUCGGAAUCACUGGGCGUAAAGGGAGCGUAGGCUGCGCGGUAAGUCAGGUGUGAAAUCCCGGGGCUCAACCCCGGAACUGCACCCGAUACUGCCGUGCUAGAGGGUUGGAGAGGUGACUGGAAUUCUCGGUGUAGCAGUGAAAUGCGUGGAUAUCGAGAGGAACACUCGUGGCGAAGGCGAGUCACUGGACAACAUCUGACGCUGAGGCUCGAAGGCCAGGGGAGCAAAAGGGAUUAGAUACCCUGGUAGUCC
rnacentral:rRNA from 1 species